UCCUACUCCCUGGUGUCGCCUUGCCCUCCACGACGUCGGCCGCGUACGACCCGACCGGGUAACGGACUUCACCGCAGUUAUGCUCGACCUGACGUAUUAACGUAGACGUACUUCCGCCUGCAGUAGAGGACGAUCGCUAGUAAUCGCAGGUCAGCAUACUGCGGUGAAUCCGUUCCCGGGCCUUGUACACACCGCCCGUGUCGACGCGGCCG
rnacentral:rRNA from 1 species